rnacentral:rRNA from 1 species
UUGGGGAAUAUUGCACAAUGGGCGCAAGCCUGAUGCAGCGACGCCGCGUGAGGGAUGACGGCCUUCGGGUUGUAAACCUCUUUCAGCACAGACGAAGCGCAAGUGACGGUAUGUGCAGAAGAAGGACCGGCCAACUACGUGCCAGCAGCCGCGGUAAUACGGGAGCCAGCAGCCGCGGUAAU